rnacentral:rRNA from 1 species
UGGGGAAUAUUGCACAAUGGGCGAAAGCCUGAUGCAGCAACGCCGCGUGGAGGAUGACGCAUUUCGGUGUGUAAACUCCUUUUAUAUCCCAAGAUAAUGACGGUAGGAUAUGAAUAAGCACCGGCUAACUCCGUGCCAGCAGCCGCGGUAAUACGGAGGGUGCAAGCGUUACUCGGAAUCACUGGGCGUAAAGGAUGCGUAGGCGGAUGAUCAAGUCAAAAGUGA